AUGCCCACAGCCCCCCAUCAGAAUCACGUUUCAUUCUCAAGAGUCACUCCUCCUUCUGUCUUCACAAGUGCAUUCCUUCUUCCAGGCGCCAGAGAGCAGAAACCUAGGGAAACACGAUCUCCAGGGAGCCACGGCACCCAUCCUGGCCUCCCAGGCACUGCACUGAGAUCUAGCCCAAUCCUGGCUGCAGACAGAGGAGGCAUGGCGCAGGGACAGCAGCUGCAUACCUUGCUACUUUCUGUCCCUGGCCACGCUGUCCUCGUUUGCACUCUCUCCAGCUACAAAGGGUGCACUGUCUUCAGUUACAAGCCGCCCACAAGAAGAUCCCAUGAGUGGAAUUUAUCAUCCGAUAAUCAUAUGGUCACCUUCCUUUUCUGGUACUAAUGCCCCAGUGACCCAUUUGCUUGUGGGGACAAUGAAACCUCACUACUCAGACUCCUUGCCUGGUUCCAGCCUCCUUUUCUCUGGAGUGUGAUGUCACCCCUUUAAUACUCAUCCAUGUCCAGUCCUGGAGGCCCAGAUUCUGGGUUCCCUUGCUGCUGUAAGUUCUGAAUAGCUACUGCUAUUUGCCAGUCUGACUUCCCUACUCACCCUAUGACUUGUCUUGACCUCAGUAUUUGUGUAUAAAAGCUUGAAGCGACUGGCCUACUAUUAACCUUCAGAACUAUGAACCUUGAUACAGUUCCCUAAUUCUAUCAACCUCAUAUUUAUCUUCCUGUGAGGCACAGCACAGUGUAACAGGAAUUGAAUAGAAAGAGUGCUUAGAGGAAUGCUACCGGUACAAAAUCAUAAUAUUGAAAAACAUUUCUUAAUAUACUGUAAGUUUUUAUUCAAUGUCAACCAGUUCUCUAUAAAGCUUUCACUUCACCUUCUAAUUUCCUUCUAACUCUGUGUUCACAGAGCAUCCUAGAUGUAAAGCUAAGUUGCAAACUUGAAUGCCUACAGGAAAAGACAGUUAAAGUGAGUCAGAUAUAAGAGACUGAAGGGACUGGUUGAGAAGCACAACUCUCAUGUAACUGUAUUUUAAAACAACAAAUACUACGUGAUGUGAGGCAAGCAAAAUUCACGUUCCAGUCUAGAUGUGGUCAGUAGACCUCUGGACCUUGGUAUGAUUUGAGGCAGGGAGAGAAACAAGUGCUUUAUGUGGACUCUACUAUUUAGGACAACACAUCUGUGCUAAAUCAUUCCAUAAAAAUAUGUUUGACAGAACACCAGAGAGAAGCCCAGGCAUAUGACAGGUAUGGGAGUGAAAUUAUACUUGAGAGGUACUAAACCUCUGCCCAAGUAAGACAUCAAUGGAAAAAAAUCAAUUAAAUCUAAACAGUAUAGUAGAUACUGUGAAAGGGAAAGAAACUGCUCAGAAGGAAAGAACUGGGAUGAGGAAAAGAGAAAAGAAGGAAAGAAGGGAAAAUAUAUGUUAUACACAGGAUAUAUGUGCAUACACAGGAUAUAUGCAUACACAAGAUAGCUAAGACAGUUGUACUACUGAUUUCUAUUGCUUUAUUGAAAGGAACGGUUAAUGUUUAAUUGUUUGAUCAAUCUUACAUGCCUAUAUUUGUUUAUCUGAGUAACCAAUUGGAAGAUAAUAAUACGUAAUACAACAACCAUUGUUAACUUGCUAUCACCUUGUCUGAAAUUCUAUAUUGCUUCUACUGUUUUUGUGUUGUUUUGUUUAUAUCUGUGUGUUUGUUAAUAUGUUUUCAUUCUUUUAUCUUUAAAAUAAGAAAAAAAACUAAAGUGACUAGUUUCAUUUAUACUGCUGCCUGUGGAGAACCCUACAAGGACUAAGAGGACACUCUUCAAUGGCAUGAUUCAUUUUGCUUUCACCAUCUCAAAGGGAAAAUCAUAUGGCAGAGAAUAAAAGUUUUAAAGGAAAACCCCCACAAACAUUCAAGAUUUUUUUUAUACAAGUCUAUUUUUUCAAAGCCAAGUACUUAAGUUCUUUUUCAUAAUUUUACCUUAUAAAAGGGAAUUAAACUGUGACCAGUUAUCAUUUACUAUUGAAUACAAGUUUUGGAUCAGGAAGUAUCAUCAUAGGUUGAUCUUAAGAUAUUUUUUUGUUUUUGCUUUAAACCAUUUAUUCAACUGUAAUGUCAUACAACGCCCUUACUUUAUUUUGAUACAUCUUUUCCCCACGAUGAUUCAGAGGAUCUUCAAGCCAAUAUAUAUAUUCAAUAAAUAUUUGGCCAUUUGGGUAUACUCCUGAACAAUACCUCACAUUAUUCAGAAAGAAAAACACUGAAGAGUAAAAAUGUGACACAACUAAGUAGGUACAAUGAUAAUCUGUUUCAAUCAUUUGUUUGUCUAAGGUAAGGGCACCACACAUCUGUUCAAUUAUGAAAGCCAUCCUUAAAACUCAGGAUGCUUUUUAGCACAAUUUCUAAUAGCUAAAGCUUGGAAACAACCCAAAUGCCCAACAACUGAGGAAUGGAUAAAAAAGAUGUGGUAUUUUAUAGAACAGAGUACUACUCAGCUAUAAAGAAGGAUAAACUCAAGGCUUUUAUAGCUAAAUGGAUGCAACUAGAGACCAUACUCAUAAGUGAAAUAAACGACUCGCAUGUGUAAACAUCAUAUUGUCUCCCUAGUGUAAGAAACUGGAAGAGUAAAGAAGAUCCAAAAUGUAUAACAGAUAUUGUGAAAGGGAAAGAAAUUGCUCAAAAGUAAAGAACAACUGGGAUGGGGGAAAGGAGAAAAGGAAGGGAAAAAAAUAUAUAUGUAUACAUAAGAUAGUUAAAAUAAUUGUACCACUAAUUUCUAUUAGUUCAUUGAAAGGAAC
ensembl:lincRNA